GGAGCUUGCUCUUCUUGGAUGAGUUGCGAACGGGUGAGUAACGCGUAGGUAACCUGCCUUGUAGCGGGGGAUAACUAUUGGAAACGAUAGCUAAUACCGCAUAACAAUGGAUGACACAUGUCAUUUAUUUGAAAGGGGCAAUUGCUCCACUACAAGAUGGACCUGCGUUGUAUUAGCUAGUAGGUGAGGUAACGGCUCACCUAGGCGACGAUACAUAGCCGACCUGAGAGGGUGAUCGGCCACACUGGGACUGAGACACGGCCCAGACUCCUACGGGAGGCAGCAGUAGGGAAUCUUCGGCAAUGGGGGCAACCCUGACCGAGCAACGCCGCGUGAGUGAAGAAGGUUUUCGGAUCGUAAAGCUCUGUUGUAAGUCAAGAACGAGUGUGAGAGUGGAAAGUUCACACUGUAACGGUAGCUUACCAGAAAGGGACGGCUAACUACGUGCCAGCAGCCGCGGUAAUACGUAGGUCCCGAGCGUUGUCCGGAUUUAUUGGGCGUAAAGCGAGCGCAGGCGGUUUGAUAAGUCUGAAGUUAAAGGCUGUGGCUCAACCAUAGUUCGCUUUGGAAACUGUCAAACUUGAGUGCAGAAGGGGAGAGUGGAAUUCAUGUUUAGCGGUGAAAUGCGUA
rnacentral:rRNA from 1 species